UGGACAGAUUAUUGUAUUCGACUGUAUUCACGGCGUGAAACAUGGGAUUACACUGUUUUUAAACGGAAAGUGAAUCAAUUAACAUAAUAGACUCGU
rnacentral:pre_miRNA from 1 species